UAUUUUGCUAUGAAAAGGAAAAGUACUUCAGUAUACUCGUCCAGAGAGGAAAUGCCGUAGGCUGUAAGCAUUUCCCGAUGUGGCUGAAUGAAAAACCACCUUGGAGCAGCUUGUUGAAAUGAAGUAUGCAAGCCGGAGAGACACCGUUACUGUCGUUAGAGGUGGGAGUGUAAACUCCAACCAGGGUGGAACCGCGGAAACAUCCCGUCCCUGAU
rnacentral:ncRNA from 1 species